rnacentral:rRNA from 1 species
GCGACCCCAGGUCAGGCGGGAUCACCCGCUGAGUUUAAGCAUAUCAAUAAGCGGAGGAGAAGAAACUUACAAGGAUUCCCCUAGUAACGGCGAGCGAACCGGGAAU